GUUUGACCUCGGAUCAGAUAGGGAUACCCGCUGAACUUAAGCAUAUCAUUAAGCCGGAGGAA
rnacentral:rRNA from 1 species